GACGAACGCUGGCGGCGUGCUUAACACAUGCAAGUCGAACGGUGAAGCGAGUGCUUGCACUCGUGGAUCAGUGGCGAACGGGUGAGUAACACGUGAGUAACCUGCCCAUCACUCUGGGAUAAGCACUGGAAACGGUGUCUAAUACUGGAUACGACCAACCCUCGCAUGGGGUGUUGGUGGAAAGAUUUAUCGGUGAUGGAUGGACUCGCGGCCUAUCAGCUUGUUGGCGGGGUAAUGGCCCACCAAGGCGACGACGGGUAGCCGGCCUGAGAGGGUGACCGGCCACACUGGGACUGAGACACGGCCCAGACUCCUACGGGAGGCAGCAGUGGGGAAUAUUGCACAAUGGGCGAAAGCCUGAUGCAGCGACGCCGCGUGAGGGAUGACGGCCUUCGGGUUGUAAACCUCUUUCAGCAGGGAAGAAGCGAAAGUGACGGUACCUGCAGAAGAAGCACCGGCUAACUACGUG
rnacentral:rRNA from 1 species